rnacentral:rRNA from 1 species
CCUUGUCCCAGCAGCCGCGGUAAUACGUAGGGUGCGNGNNUUAAUCGGAAUUACUGGGCGUAAAGCGUGCGCAGGCGGAUUGUUAAGCAAGACGUGAAAUCCCCGGGCUUAACCUGGGAAUGGCGUUUUGAACUGGCAGUCUAGAGUGCGUCAGAGGGGGGUGGAAUUCCACGUGUAGCAGUGAAAUGCGUAGAGAUGUGGAGGAACACCGAUGGCGAAGGCAGCCCCCUGGGAUGACACUGACGCUCAUGUACGAAAGCGUGGGUAGCAAACAGGAUUAGAUACCCUGGUAGUCCACGCCCUAAACGAUGUCAACUGGUUGUUGGGGGAGUGAAAUCCCUUAGUAACGAAGCUAACGCGUGAAGUUGACCGCCUGGGGAGUACGGUCGCAAGAUUAAAACUCAAAGGAAUUGACGGGGACCCGCACAAGCGGUGGAUGAUGUGGAUUAAUUCGAUGCAACGCGAAAAACCUUACCUACCCUUGACAUGUCCGGAAUCCUGCAGAGAUGCGGGAGUGCCCGAAAGGGAAUCGGAACACAGGUGCUGCAUGGCUGUCGUCAGCUCGUGUCGUGAGAUGUUGGGUUAAGUCCCGCAACGAGCGCAACCCUUAUCAUUAGUUGCUACGCAAGGGCACUCUAAUGAGACUGCC